UGUGAGCUCAGCCCACAUAGUUCUUUCCUGGAGAGACAUCAUGUCUUGCAAACGAGCGAAGCAUGGCAGUUGCUCAGUGUUUGGAUGUAGUACAAAUGAACACAACAGUUUAUUUUUACUUCCUUCAUCCGAGCCUCUGAAGAAGCAGUGGGUGAUUUCAUUUUCUCUGGAAAUGCGAAAGUCUGCGCCAAACAUUUCACCGACGACUGCUUCCUCAACUUGGUCCAAUACAAAGAUGGACUUGCUGAACGUCUGGAAAUGGAGUCCGGAGCAGUACCAACUCUCCUCGGCUCAGCUACAAACCUCGAACAAAUCAGCACAUCAAGUGCUUACAUUCAGCUGCUUCUCACAAGGGAUGUUGCCUGCCAUACAGACCACCUGGAAACACAUACUGUAGGCACACAGCUAUCCUUAAAGACUUUGCCGUCCCACUUUACAAACUCAGAAGACUGCGAUGACUUUGAAGACCGU